rnacentral:rRNA from 1 species
AGCGUAGACGGAGAGGCAAGUCUGAUGUGAAAACCCGGGGCUCAACCCCGGGAGUGCAUUGGAAACUGUUUAUCUAGAGUGCCGGAGGGGUAAGUGGAAUUCCUAGUGUAGCGGUGAAAUGCGUAGAUAUUAGGAGGAACACCAGUGGCGAAGGCGGCUUACUGGACGGUAACUGACGUUGAGGCUCGAAAGCGUGGGGAGCAAACA